AGAAAAACUGGCCUUGCAACUUGAGAAUGGAGAAACAUGAUUAAAAUGAUGCGGACAUAAAUGGCCUUGCAACAGAAAACCGGCUUUUGUUCCAUGUUUGCUUUCAAAAGGAUAUUACAAGACAAAACAUGGACAGCUUUCAAGAAACCUAGGGCGAUAGGAUAACUAAGGAAAAGACGAAAAGCUGCCACAAAAACACAAUCUAUUAUGUAGAUGACACGGAAGAACCUUAAACAUCAAUAUGAACAACAAUUGACAAGAAAAAACAUUUCACAAGCUAUGCUUCCUAAAAAGUUAUUAGCAUGCUUAAGUUAUUCUUCACCAAUUUGCUUCACCAUUUUUAAGUCCUAAAAAAGAAAUUAAUUGGACGAGACGUUAAUGUUAGACUAGGUGAAAAGUCAUGAAUAAUAGA
rnacentral:lncRNA from 1 species